rnacentral:lncRNA from 1 species
AAAUUUAAAUCCUUAUAUUGCUUCAGGGUCAAGAUUGACUGUUGCUUCCUGCUUGAAAUCUUUGUUGAUUACCCAACUCUCCUCUUCUCAUUACCUUAUACUUACUCAUCUGUGUAUAUUUUAUAUCUUCUCAGAGGAUUACAAGCUCCAUAAGAUUGUAGACUAUUCUGUAUAUUGUUGUACACUUUAUCCAGUGUAGCAUUAUCAUAGUGGGUACAUACUUGUUAAAUAUUUCAUGACAGUUUUUUUGUCUUCCUUCAAGUUUUACAUAUAAAUGCCCACAGAAUCUUCCUUCACUUGGGCUUAUGAAGAGAUGACCGCAGUUUACUGAAUAUUUGAGUGGCAAGAAUGUAACUAAGAAAUGUCUUUAUAGACAUGGAAAUCAAGGUGAUCAAGGAUAGAAUGCAUUAUGUGUGAACAAGUAGCUGGACAAUUUGACUGCCAGGAAGACUGUGAAAAUGUAUGACUUGGAAGAAGAAUGAAAGGUACUGGAAGAUGGUUGAUGGCUAUCAUUCUAAAAGAAAAUUUGAAGGCUUUCAACUGAAAGAGCAUAGCCAUCAGGGAUCAUGAGACCUGGGUUGAGACAUCUGUCAGAGAUUAUAUAUCCAGUGAAUUAUGCCCAGAAAAAGGCCAUACAAUAAGCUAAGACCAAUAUGAAGAAGACAGAGGGAGAAUAGUUCCAUAAAAUCAAUGAAAUAAUUUGGUAGAUUUGCUGUGCUGGAAAAAUUUUCUAUGUGUUUACCCUGGCUAUAAAUUUUCUUUCUAUCUGAACCCCCUCAACAUUUGUUCCAAUUUCCAU